CACUGGGGCUGGAGAAGCCGCAGUGCUUGUUGCUGGGUUGGAUUAGCUGCCGUGCAUGUUGACGGGGUUGUAGUAGCCACAGUGCCUGGCCUUAGUGUUCGAGCAGCCCAUGUGCCUGUCGCAGUACUUGGAGUACCUGCAGUGCUUGUGGCUUGGGUUGGAGAAGCCUCACUGCUUAUCAGUGACGUUGGAGUAGCCGCACUGUUUUUUGCCCUUCU